CACCCUAGAAACCUAUUCAGUAGGAGCACGGUGACUCCCUGUCCUUGGAAUACUCUUCCAAAUUGUUGUUUGCUUCUAGAAAUUGAGUCUAUGGGGUAGUUUGUCCAGCCAUCCCCAUAACUUCUAUAAUUGUUGGUUGAAUUCAGCCAGGUUAUGCUGAACAAUAAAUCCUACAGAAAUGAUUCCAUAGAGAUGUGCAACCAGGUAGAAGAGUAAGAAUAGCUUAAAUGCCUUCACUGGUAACCCUAUGCUUGUUUAUGAAACAAAAAAUCCAUGUGGAAAGAAGGACGUACUUCUUAUCUCAGCCUCUUAGUGAUGUCUCCCAGUUUGCUGGUCUUCUGUGGCCUUCAUCGUGUGGCAGCCAAGUCUCAGGGUUUUGCCGAAGCUGCCUGGGGCUUUGAAGUGGUCUGCCAGGAAGCCAAUGUCACAGGAGUUUGUAACUAGUGGGAAAGGGGCAGCGUGAGCAGCCUGGUGAGAUAGAUGCGUGUGGGAGCCUCACAAGCGAAGGCCUCAGCUGCCUGGGUGUGGUGAGAGGUGAUUCAUGGGCCUGCAGCCUUGCUAGGACCAGAUGAAGGUGUCCUUGUGAGCCAAUGUGCAGGGAAAAGGACUGGCUGGUAACACUGCCUUCCCUGCUGAACGGAGGCUUUAAGGCCAGAAAUUGCAUUUCCUUACCCUUCCAUAGCCUUCUUCCCACUAAGGCUGUUGUCAUAAGAGGGGAAAAAAACAAACAAACAAAAACCACCUUUUUCUUCUGAAAAUGCUAUCCCCAAACAUUUGUACUGUGGGAUGCUUCUAAUUCACUUGCAGAAAACUCAGAUGUGUUGAUUUUGGUGCUUGACUGCUCUAAUUUCUGAUUUUGGAUUAUCCCAAAACUCACACUUGAUAUGAGGGCUUACUCCUGGGAACAGAGCUGCUCUGUAGGAAGUUAAUACCUAAGGAAUCAAAAAUCAGCAGGGCAGUUCUCCUUGAGCUACGUGGAAUGGGCUCUGUGUGUCAUCCUUGUACUUCCAAGCUCGUUGAUGACUGGAUCACUGGAGAAAAAACUGCUUCCAGGAGGAGCUUUUUUCAAACACAUUAAAAAUGAGAGGAAAAAAAAAAAAAGCUGCGAA